GAUGAACGCUAGCGGCAGGCUUUAACACAUGCAAGUCGAGGGGCAGCGGGGCGGUCAGCUUGCUGAUUGCCGCCGGCGACCGGCGCACGGGUGAGUAACACGUAUGCAACCUGCCCGCCACAGGGGAUAACCGGGAGAAAUCCCGACUAAUACCGCGUAGUCCGCGGAGGGGCAUCCCUCCGCGGGGAAAGGAGCGAUCCGGUGGCGGAUGGGCAUGCGGCGCAUUAGCUAGUUGGCGGGGCAACGGCCCACCAAGGCGACGAUGCGUAGGGGUUCUGAGAGGAAGGUCCCCCACAUUGGUACUGAGACACGGACCAAACUCCUACGGGAGGCAGCAGUGAGGAAUAUUGGUCAAUGGGCGGAAGCCUGAAACCAGCCAAGUCGCGUGAGGGAGGAAGGUCCUAACGGAUUGUAAACCUCUUUUGCCGGGGAGCAAAGGGGCCAUUUAUGGCAGGAUGAGCGUACCCGGAGAAAAAGCAUCGGCUAAACUCCGUGCCAGCAGCCGCCGUAAC
rnacentral:rRNA from 1 species